GCUUUUGAAACCAUGUUUGUUCAUAUUCUUUUAUUUUCUUGUUUCUAUUAUGUGUUUUGGUUUCUUUGAAUCCAUAAUUGAAUCCAAUAGUGAAGAAAGGUGAACCACGCGACGAAGAAUCAGCCGCGACUUUGUUGUCUUCCAAUCUCGGUGGUCUUGCGAUCUACACUCUUGGGUGUCUUAAGUGUGAGUGUGUUUGGAGCCUCAACCUUGUAAAAAAGAUGACACCAUAUGAGGAGGAGCGGGAAAAAAGAUGAGUUUGGCCUAGCUGGGUUUAUGAAUUAUGUGUUUGAUUGUUGUUGUCUUGUAUUUGACUUUUAGUCAUGUUAUUUUAUGAUAUAUUGUGCUAGAACAUUGAGCACAUAUAUUAAUCUAGUUUGUAUAAUUGUGUCAG
rnacentral:lncRNA from 1 species